CACGGUAGACAGGUGCUGCAUGGCUGUCGUCAGCUCGUGUCGUGAGGAUGUUCGGGUUAAGUCCCGCAACCGAGCGCAACCCUUGUCAUUAGUUGCUACAUUCAGUUGGGCACUCUAAUGAGACUGCCGGUGACAAACCGGAGGAAGUGGGGAUGACGUCAAGUCCUCAUGGCCCUUAUAGGUGGGGCUACACACGUCAUACAAUGGAUGGUACAAAGGGUCGCCAACCCGCGAGGGGGAGCCAAUCCCAUAAAGCCAUUCGUAGUCCGGAUCGCAGUCUGCAACUCGACUGCGUGAAGUCGGAAUCGCUAGUAAUCGUGGAUCAGAAUGUCACGGUGAAUACGUUCCCGGGUCUU
rnacentral:rRNA from 1 species